UUUGUCAUUUAAGAGAGUCUCUUUGUAUGUUAAAUGGGAUAGCUGAUACAGAAAUUACUCUGAUCUUGUUUUCCAGCUCUGUCUAUUACUUCAGUCAUGACAAGGAGCUCAGGCUAGCAGUGCUGGAAAGAAGGGUAGUACAAGACUUGAAGAUCAUAACCCUGGCCUGUUGAGGUUCAUGCUGCAGAACUGUCAUCAAUUACAUUUCCUCCUUUGAGGCUGAGAUUGGAUAUUUAAUCUUAAACCACGCUUUCAGCUGUAAAAUUUGUCUGAAAUGAGGAAUUACACCUUACCAGAAGUCAUCACAGCCUAGUGAAAGGGGCCAGUGGAAUGAAUCAGUAUCACAGGGGUGAAAGGUAUGGUGAGAUGAAAGGAAAGGGGCACAAUGAUUUCCACUGAUCUCAGCAUAUCAAAUAAUACUGAGGAGGUUUUUAUUCAAGACACAAAAUGGAUUUGGAUUCCAUACUCCAUUGAAAAUGCAGAGGAGAGAAGUACAAGUAUCAGUAGGCUGUUAAAUAUUUCCAGUAAGUGCUUCUCAUUAAUUCCAAAUGUGCUUAAAGAAAACUUAUCAGAGUUUCAA